rnacentral:tRNA from 1 species
GCCGGUAUAACUCAAUUGGUAGAGUAACUGAUUUGUAAUCAGUAGGUUGAGGGUUCGAUUCCUUCUACCGGCACC